rnacentral:rRNA from 1 species
UACAGAGGGGGCAAGCGUUGUUCGGAAUUACUGGGCGUAAAGGGCGCGUAGGCGGCCUGCUAAGUCGAUCGUGAAAUCCCCGGGCUCAACCCGGGAACUGCGACCGAUACUGGUUGGCUUGAAUUCGGGAGAGGGAUGCGGAAUUCCAGGUGUAGCGGUGAAAUGCGUAGAUAUCUGGAGGAACACCGGUGGCGAAGGCGGCAUCCUGGACCGGCAUUGACGCUGAGGCGCGAAAGCCAGGGGAGCAAACGGG